GUGAACCUGCGGAAGGAUCAUUGUCGAUGCCUCGCAACCAGUUUGACCGGCGAACAUGUUUUUCUGACCUGUUGGUAUUGGCUUGGGGUGUUCGGCAUCUCAUCCUUGCCUCUCUGCCGAGAGGCGGUCGUGCAUGGCUCGGCUUCCUCUUGACAAACACUAACCCCGGCGCUUUGUGCGCCAAGGAUUCCAAAAUUGUUCGGCGUGGGCCUCGGGGGACUUGGAAACAAUGUUCUCGCGGGUCUUGUCACGACACACAAAAAGAAUGACUCUCGGCAAUGGAUAUCUCGGCUCUUGCAUCGAUGAAGAACGUAGCGAAAUGCGAUACUUGGUGUGAAUUGCAGAAUCCCGUGAACCAUCGAGUCUUUGAACGCAAGUUGCGCCCGAAGCCAUUAGGCUGAGGGCACGCCUGCCUGGGUGUCACACAUCGUUACCCUCACGCAAAUGUCUGUUGCUGGACCUUGCGUAGUGUGUAUGCUGACCUCCCGCGAGCGGUGUCUCGUGGUUGGUUGAAAAUUGAGUUCACGGUCAAGUGCGUCGUGAUAAAAUGGUGGAUGGGCAAUGCCCGAGGCCAAUCACGCGUGACGUUGCCCGGUCUGGACUCCCGGAACCCUGCGGCGUCUUCGGAUGCUCUUAGCGAGACCUCAGGUCAGGCGGGGCUACCCGCUGAGUUUAAGCAUAUCAAUAAGC
rnacentral:rRNA from 1 species